AUGUUCCUUAGGGAGAAGAUGAUGAAAUGUGGAUGUGUGCAUAUAUGGGGUACAAGCUGAGCACAGAGAGCUGUCAGAGUAACAUUUUAGCCCAAGCGCAGUGUAAAAAGCAACUCAGACACAGGGGGAAGAUAGAAUCUCCUAGAGCUCCAUGAGGCGUGAGAACCUUGCUUCUGGGGCAGCAAACAGUCACCAUUGUUGAGGUGGGGCCAUGGCCAGAAGUUGGACCUUCAUGGAGAGGCUCGGUCAAAGGUUGAACCUUCGAGAGGACUGACAAGCACUGCCCUAAGACUCCAGAUCUGAUCUGCAACAAAGUGAUGGAGUGGUGCAGCCAAGAGAAUGGCAGCUGAGACCCUUUCUAGUGAAGGCCACAGGCUUGUCACUGGCACCCCACUAAGAUUUGUGUGCAAGAAGGUAACCAAAUGCCCCUGCAAUGGAUUCCAUGCCCACAGAAUUAACCCUCUGUACACAUAGUAAAUCAUAUCCUCAUAUUUAACAAUCAAUCAAUAAAUAAAAGCUAUGUGUUAAUACUAAAC